rnacentral:snRNA from 1 species
GGAUGUGAGGGUGAUCUGGCUAUGACAUCUGUCACCUCAUUGAUCGACAGGGUUGAUUCAGCUGAUCUGGCUUGCUAGGCAGGUAUCCCCUCCUCCCUCACCACGCCAUGUUCCUGCUUCCCAAAGCUGCCUGCUCAGUCGAAGAGGAUGACCUUCCCAGAUGCAAGAGAGGACCGUUCUUCAGUCAAGGGUGUAGAAGGAGCUGCACUCCUCUGCUAGAACCUCCAAAAAAGCUCUCAGGGUCUAUUUGUAGGAGAACAUAGGGUAGUCAAGCUUCCAAGACUACAGACAUAUCCAGAUGAGGUGCUGUAUGUGGCAGUCUGCCUUUCUUU